GCAACAUCUCCGGAGAGCCGAGCCAAAAACACCCAACUUCUGUAUCCGAGCAGGAGCUCCGUUUGUCGGAUAUAAAGUGCUCAUUGGAGCCGUUAAAAGCGGGACCGGAGAUACAGACGGUUUCUUUUUUCUGUGCCAUGUUUUUCUGACGGAUUAUUUGAUGAAGCCUUCACCUGCAGCUGACUGUCCACUGUGAAGCAGGAUGAACGGAUAUGAAACUCCAGCUCUCGCCUCCGGCAUCUUCGGCUCCUACAGCUCACAGAUCAACGGCCAUGGCUCUCCGUCUCCUGAGCCUCCGAAAAAUAAAGCCAAGAAGUCCAGUGCCAAAGCUCUCUACG